AUGCGAGGAUUUAAAAACAUUUUUUAUAGACAGUAAAACACGAGAUCUGUAUUGUCAAAUAAAGGACUUUUAUUCGUUUCUUCACAUUAACUUCAGCAAGAAGACCUCAGUCUGCACGCUACAUAUUAGUGGAGGACGAAACUUGGCACUAAAACAGCACGUCACUAUGACAAGCUACUUUAAAAACGACACUAAUUACAACGGCAGUAACGCGGUUGAUGGAAUUAUUUCCAAUCAAGAUGCAGCUGAUUGCGACAAUUACGGCUAUGCUUUUACAUCGAUCAGCAAUACAAUGAAACAUUUGAAUAUCACAUUUUCAAUCCCAGCUUAUACUUGGAGAUAUGUGUUUUAUUUUGGAAAUUGUAAUGAUAAUAAUUUUCAUUAUAAACAAGAAAGGUUAUAUCAUCGGGAAUAUUCCUCUGACGGAUCCGCUAUAUCAACUUAUGAAGCAAAUGAAAUAAAAACCGGCAUGAUAGGAUUUCAUUCACCACAUCAAAGUAUCAAUCCCACUGUAAUUGAGUAUAUCUCUGGCGGCGAUAAAACGAAUGGUAAUUUUCUA